rnacentral:rRNA from 1 species
UACGUAGGGUGCAAGCGUUAAUCGGAAUUACUGGGCGUAAAGCGUGCGCAGGCGGUUUUGUAAGACAGAGGUGAAAUCCCCGGGCUCAACCUGGGAACUGCCUUUGUGACUGCAAGGCUUGAGUGCGGCAGAGGGGGGUGGAAUUCCACGUGUAGCAGUGAAAUGCGUAGAGAUCGGGAGGAACAUCAGUUGCGAAGGCGGCUCUCUGGACCAGCACUGACACUGAGGCACGAAAGCGUGGGGAGCAAACAGG